UGUAGCACCCGGCGACGUAUCGGUCGAGAGCGACGUCGCGGAUGUUGUGGACAAGACGGUGAAGCACCUUGGAAAAAUUGAUAUACUGGUUAACAAUGCUGGAAUUAUCCCGAGAGGAUCCGUCGAAACCGCCUCUAUGGAAGACUUUCACCGAGCUUGGGCGACGAAUUUCUGCGGCCCGCUCUGCAUGAUGAAAAACGUCAUUCCCUAUUUGCGUCAAACCAGAGGUUCCGUCAUCAACAUUUCGAGCGUCGCAUCGGUGAAUCCGGU
rnacentral:lncRNA from 1 species